UCAAGAGGGCUCGGGAAAGGGGGUCGGAACCGGUCUAGGCUCAAGUUAAAUCUUCCUCCAAAGAACUGAUCCUGUCUUUUUUGGCGACUCGGUUCCUACUCUAAACAGUUCCCGCCCCGCAGUCUGGGCGGGCCUAUGGUGUGCGUUGAGUAGCCUUUCGGACGAAACCUUCAUGGUUAGAAGGGAAGUACCAAAGGCAAGAAAUAGCUUUAGAGACACGGGUUUGUUAGAGUAGUGGUACGCAGGGCGCUGCCCUGAACUGGGGCCGAGACGCUUUCCCAACAGCGCCAGUGAGUACGUGGCAGGACUGCCUCAGACGGACGCUUCCUCUUCCUCAGCCCAUCGGGUUAAAGGCGCGGGAGGCGCAGAGGCUGCUGGGAACGCGCAUGCGCCCAGCGCAGCGGGGAGUCCACCUUUAACGUCCGCGGGCGCUGGGGGUGUCGGGUGUAGGGUGUCCGCGGCGGCGCUUUGCGGCCGGUCGUGCGGGUCGGGCGCGAGCGGGUGCGGCGGCAGUGGCGUGCACAGGUGAUUGACUGGCCAGCUGCCUGAGGGAGCGCCCGGUCCUCCUCGCUGGCAGGUGGCGGAGCCCAUUGGGACGGCCGUGCAGACGGCGGCAGCGGCGGCCUGGCUCGGGAGGCGUUCCUGCGGCCAAGGCCAUGGCCCCGCGGCUGCAGCUGGAGAAGGCGGCCUGGCGCUGGGCGGAGACGGUGCGGCCCGAGGAGGUGUCGCAGGAGCACAUCGAGACCGCCUAUCGCAUCUGGCUGGAGCCAUGCAUUCGCGGCGUGUGCAGACGAAACUGCAAAGGAAAUCCAAAUUGCUUGGUUGGUAUUGGUGAGCAUAUUUGGUUAGGAGAAAUAGAUGAAAAUAGUUUUCAUAACAUCGAUGAUCCCAACUGUGAGAGGAGAAAAAAGAACUCAUUCGUCGGCCUGACUAAUCUUGGAGCCACUUGUUACGUCAACACGUUUCUUCAAGUGUGGUUUCUCAACUUGGAGCUUCGGCAGGCACUCUACUUAUGUCCAAGCACCUGUAGUGACUACAGGCUGGGAGACGGCAUCCAAACAGAAAAAGAUUAUGAGCCUCAAACAAUUUGUGAGCACCUCCAGUACUUGUUUGCCUUGUUACAAAACAGUAAUAGGCGAUACAUUGAUCCAUCAGGAUUUGUUAAAGCCUUGGGUCUGGACACUGGGCAACAGCAGGAUGCUCAAGAAUUUUCAAAGCUCUUUAUGUCUCUAUUGGAAGAUACUUUGUCUAAACAAAAGAAUCCAGAUGUGCGGAACAUUGUUCAACAGCAGUUCUGUGGAGAGUAUGCCUAUGUAACUGUUUGCAACCAGUGUGGCAGAGAGUCUAAGCUUUUAUCAAAAUUUUAUGAACUGGAGUUAAAUAUCCAAGGCCACAAACAGUUAACAGAUUGUAUCUCGGAAUUUUUGAAGGAAGAAAAAUUAGAAGGAGACAAUCGCUAUUUUUGCGAGAACUGUCAAAGCAAACAGAAUGCAACAAGAAAGAUUCGACUUCUUAGCCUUCCUUGCACUCUCAACUUGCAACUCAUGCGUUUUGUCUUUGACAGGCAAACUGGACAUAAGAAAAAGCUGAAUACCUACAUUGGCUUCUCAGAAAUUUUGGAUAUGGAGCCUUAUGUGGAACAUAAAGGUGGGUCCUAUGUGUAUGAACUCAGUGCAGUCCUCAUACACAGAGGAGUCAGUGCUUAUUCUGGCCACUACAUCGCCCACGUGAAAGAUCCACAGUCUGGUGAAUGGUAUAAAUUUAAUGAUGAAGACAUAGAAAAGAUGGAGGGGAAGAAAUUGCAACUAGGGAUUGAGGAAGAUCUAGCAGAACCUUCUAAGUCUCAGACACGUAAACCCAAGUGCGGCAAAGGAACUCAUUGCUCUCGAAAUGCGUAUAUGUUGGUUUAUAGACUGCAGACUCAAGAAAAGCCCAACACUACUGUUCAAGUUCCAGCCUUUCUUCAAGAGCUGGUAGAUCGGGAUAAUUCCAAAUUUGAGGAGUGGUGUAUUGAAAUGGCUGAGAUGCGUAAGCAAAGUGUGGAUAAAGGAAAAGCAAAACACGAAGAGGUUAAGGAGCUGUACCAAAGGUUACCUGCUGGAGCUGAGCCCUAUGAGUUUGUCUCUCUGGAAUGGCUGCAAAAGUGGUUGGAUGAAUCAACACCUACCAAACCCAUUGAUAAUCACGCUUGCCUGUGUUCCCAUGACAAACUUCACCCAGAUAAAAUAUCGAUUAUGAAGAGGAUAUCUGAAUAUGCAGCUGACAUUUUCUAUACUAGAUAUGGAGGAGGUCCAAGACUAACUGUGAAAGCCCUCUGUAAGGAAUGUGUAGUAGAACGUUGUCGUGUAUUACGUCUGAAGAACCAACUAAAUGAAGAUUAUAAAACUGUUAAUAAUCUGCUAAAAGUAGCAGUAAAAGGCAACGAUGGAUUUUGGGUGGGGAAGUCUUCUUUGCGGAGUUGGCGCCAGCUAGCUCUUGAACAGCUAGAUGAGCAAGACGGUGAUGCAGAACAAAGCAACGGAAAGAUGAACGGCAGCACCUUAAAUAAAGAUGAAUCAAAGGAAGAAAGAAAAGAAGAAGAGGAGGAAUUAAAUUUUAAUGAAGACAUUCUGUGUCCACAUGGUGAGUUAUGCAUAUCCGAAAAUGAAAGAAGGCUUGUUUCUAAAGAGGCUUGGAGCAAACUGCAGCAGUACUUUCCAAAGGCUCCCGAGUUUCCAAGUUACAAAGAGUGCUGUUCACAGUGCAAGAUUUUAGAAAGAGAAGGGGAAGAAAAUGAAGCCUUACAUAAGAUGAUUGCAAACGAGCAAAAGACUUCUCUCCCAAAUUUGUUCCAGGAUAAAAACAGACCGUGUCUCAGUAACUGGCCAGAGGAUACGGAUGUCCUCUAUAUCGUGUCUCAGUUCUUUGUAGAAGAGUGGCGGAAAUUCGUUAGAAAGCCUGCAAGAUGCAGCCCUGUGUCAUCUGUUGGGAACAGCGCUCUUUUGUGUCCCCAUGGGGGCCUCAUGUUUACAUUUGCUUCCAUGACCAAAGAAGAUUCUAAACUUAUAGCUCUCAUAUGGCCCAGUGAGUGGCAAAUGAUACAAAAGCUCUUUGUUGUGGAUCAUGUAAUUAAAAUCACAAGAAUUGAAAUGGGAGAUGUAAAUCCUUCAGAAACACAGUAUAUUUCUGAGCCUAAACUCUGUCCAGAAUGCAGAGAAGGUUUACUGUGCCAGCAGCAGAGGGACCUGCGUGAGUACACUCAAGCCACCAUCUACGUCCAUAAAGUUGUGGAUAAUAAAAAGGUGAUGAAGGAUUCGGCUCCAGAGCUGAACGUGAGUAGUUCUGAAACAGAGGAGGACAAGGAAGAAGCUAAACCAGAUGGAGAAAAAGAUCCAGACUUCAAUCAAAGCAAUGGUGGAACAAAGCGGCAAAAGAUAUCCCAUCAAAAUUACAUAGCCUAUCAAAAGCAAGUUAUUCGCCGAAGUAUGCGACAUAGAAAAGUUCGUGGUGAGAAGGCACUUCUCGUUUCUGCUAACCAGACAUUAAAAGAAUUGAAAAUUCAGAUCAUGCAUGCAUUUUCAGUUGCUCCUUUUGACCAGAAUCUGUCGAUUGAUGGAAAGAUUUUAAGUGAUGACUGUGCCACCCUAGGCACCCUUGGCGUCAUUCCUGAAUCUGUCAUUUUAUUAAAGGCUGAUGAACCAAUUGCAGAUUAUGCUGCAAUGGAUGAUGUCAUGCAAGAUCAUAGAAAGGAGGGAACGAUAGCUACAAAAACUUGAGACGCUAACCUGAGGAAGCUGAAAUAAAUGUCAGCCUGCUGAUGGAGGAGGUCAACAAGAAGCAAAGCCAAGUCGAAUUGCAGUUCACCAGACAGGCACACAAAUUAGAGGCCCAGGUACCUCUGAAGUUUGUAUGCCAGAAGAAGGGUUUAAAGGUACUGGUCUUCUUGGACAUUAAUCUUUGAAUACUUGCUGACUGCUAAGAAAUGACCAGAGGGGAAGAGGAAUUUGACAUGUUAGGGCAUUGAACAAAGGUGGAUUUAAGAAUUAAACCAUUACAUGCCCCUUCCAAAAGGCAGAUCCAUUCAAAAGUGAGUGUCCCAAAUGCCUUAUGUCAAAUAAAGCAGAUUGCACUGACGGACAUCAGACUUGAAGGAAAUGUUUCCAAUUUUAUAUUUAAGGGGGAGGUGGGUGGGAGGGGGUAAGUAAAGACAGAACAAGUUUAGUAGCAGUAACAGUAAAUCAUGUUUACAUACCAGAUUUAUAGUCGUGGGAGGGAAUAAAGUUCUGUUAUAUUUCCUUGCUUGAGUUUCAUACCAGAUGCGUUGGUCCAUAAAGGAUUGUAUCACAGUAGAUGGGACAACAUUCUGCUCUGAACAAAAAGUAAUUUUAGAGACAUAACCUGCUUACCAAUGCCUGUCUUUGAUUCAUAUUCUACUUUCAAUAAAGCAUGAAAGUGAAGAACUUG